GUGAUCAUCCUUCCCAGGCUGAGGGUACAGACAGGAGCUGGCAGAGCAGGGAGGGUGCUGGGCAUCUACCACAGGGUCAGGAGCCCUGGGGAAGUCUCCUGAUGGUGGUAGGUGGCUGGGGGUGGGGUGGGGGUAGAGGGCUGCCAACAAAAGCUUCCAAGACCCUGAAGGAGGCAAGGCACGCUGAGUUUUAAGGAGCCAGAGGCAUCAUCUUAUCGGGUGACAGGAGUGAGGCCCCACUGCAAUGCCUGCCGUGGAGGGGCCAGUGGGCUAGGCAGGCACACACAGCAGCUGUGAUAACUUUGGGCAGACCAUAAGGCAGUUUACGGUUUGCUGAGUCAUUUUACAAAUCUUUAUUCUGUGAGGUUGGUAGAAAAAUGAAGCUCAGAGAGGUUAGGUAACUUGUCCCAGGACACAGAGCCAGGACUUGGGCCUGUAUAUCCCAAGCUCUAGCCUGAACUGGCUCCUUAGGUAGCCUCUGCCCCUCCCACUACCCCAACUCCCUGAAGCAGAACCUUGGUUAGAGCGGCAGGGCCCGUCUUGUUUUGACAGGUCUAGAACUUGUCUUUGUUUUAUUUUUCAGGACACCAGAACUGGUUAACAUCUACAGGCCUGGCUCACCCAACCAAACAUACGGGAGGUGGGUGGAUGGAUAAACAAUGCCACUGUGACCGCUUACAAUGAGCGCCAGUUCGUUUAGAAGGCUGAUGUCAGGAAUUGGCUCAAGUCAUUCAUUCCCUCCUGGUGAUGCCGGGCAAAUGCAGAACCAGGGCAAAUGCAGAACCAGAGCAAAUGGAGCCAGCCUUUCUCGAAGGAUUUCUCAGUCUGUCAGACUGGGCUACAGAAAUGUGUGACGUGCCGGGAAGUGUCAGGGAAAGUGUGGCUCAGGAGUGACCUGGGUUGUAAUCUUAGCUCUACCAGUUCUUAACAACAUGUCCUUGGCAGGUUGCUUAAGCCUUGGCCUUUUGUUCAUCUGAUACAUGGAGAUGAUCAUAGAACAACCCAGAGAGUUGCUGGGAGGAGCAUACAGAU
rnacentral:lncRNA from 10 species